GAUGAACGCUGGCGGCGUGCCUAAUACAUGCAAGUCGAGCGAACGGACCUGCAGUUUGCUUUUCUGAUGUUAGCGGCGGACGGGUGAGUAACACGUGGCUCACCUACCUUUUAGCCUGGGCUAACUUCUAGAACUCGGAACUUAUACCGGAUAAUAUUUUGAACCGCAUGGUUCUACCGUGAAUGACGGUCUUGCUUCUACUUAUAGAUGAUUCCGCGCUGCAUUAGCUACUUGGUAAGGUAAGGGCAUACUAAGGCAACGAUGCAUAGCAGACCUGGGAGGGUGAUCGGGCACACUGGAACUGGGACACGGUCCAGGCCCCGACGGGAAGGAGCAGUAGGGGAGCGGCCGAAAGGGGCGAAAGCGGGACGGAGCAACAGCGCGUGAGUGAUGAAGGUCUUGGGAUCGGAAAAGUCUGUUAUUAGGGAAGAACAUAAGGGUAAGUAGCUGGGCACAUCGUGACGGUACCUGAACAGAAAGCAACGGCUAACUACGUG
rnacentral:rRNA from 1 species